ensembl:lncRNA FAM86JP family with sequence similarity 86 member J, pseudogene
GGCCCCGCCCACGUCAUGGCGCCCGAGGAGAACGCUGGGACCUAACUCUUGCUGCAGAGUUUGCAGCGCCGCUUUCUGGCGGCGCGCGCGCUGCGCUCCUUCCCCUGGCAGGUGGGCGGCGGGGCGAGCGGAGAGGCCCGCAGGGCUCGCGGGAGUCCAGGGGCAGACGGGAUGGGUCUCCGUGCAGAAGCCCCCGACACGCCCGCCACAGCUUAGAAGCAAAAUUAACAGACUCAUCAGAUUCUGAGCUUCUGCGGGAUAUUUUGCAGAAGCCCAUCCUAGGAGCCCCAGUGAAGAAUUCCUGUGCUAGAGGUGAACCAAGAUUAUCCAUGUGGAAAAGAUGCAGCCACAGCAGGGAAGACUUUCGGGGCAAUACAGUAGACUGUGAAGCAUCCUGUGUGUGUGACGCACCCGCCGUCAGUCAAGUAUGCCCGGUGCUUUCUCUCAGAACUCAUCAAAAAGACGUGCUGUAUUGCCCAGAAGCCAUCGUGUUGCUGGUCGGGGUCCUGCUGAGGCUGGCUGCCUGCCGGGAGCACCAGCGGGCUCCUGAGGUCUAUGUGGCCUUUACUGUCCGCAACCCAGAGACAUGCCAGCUGUUCACCACCGAGCUAGGCCAGGCCAGGAUCAGAUGGGAAGUGGAACCUCGUCAUGACCAGAAACUGUUUCCCUAUGAAGAGCACUUGGAGAUGGCAAUGCUGAACCUCACACUGUAGGACUCACACACGACUCCAAUGGGAUUGUGAGAAUCAAGUCACUCUCAAGGGAAGAGGUUUCAUAUGGGAAAGCUGAUAAAACUUUCACUGGACUGGAAUGUUUGGAGAAUGUUAAUUUCCAAAUCAGGAACUACAAACUGCCCUCUAAUAAGACAUCGGCUAUCUAAGCGUGUGGGUGCUCCCUUUCUGCCAGCAGUUCUGGUUCUUAAGGAAAUCGCCAUCACUCAGACAUGAAAACUCUGGCUCCAAAAAUAGCAUUUUCUUUGUGCAAAUAAAAACGUGUGUAUCAAGUAUGUGGACACACUCGGUUCCUCACAAAGCCAAGCCUGCUGCAGCUGCCACAUCCCUGGACACACUUGGUUCCUCACAAAGCCAAGACUGCUGCAGCUGCCACAUCCGCGGACACACUCAGUUCUUCACAAAGCCAAGCCCGCUGCAGCUGCCACAUCCCUGGGCUUACGAUGCAGCAGGUGCUUUUUUCAAGACAGGAAUCAAAAUGUUAGGAACACGGCAGAAAGGUGACACCUGGAGACCAAACGCAGGAUAAGGAGUACUGCAGAGGUCACAGGGAAGUCACAGAACAGUAAUACGCUAGCAGGGGCAUGGGGCAUGAAGAACAGAAGAAGAGAGGAAGUGUUUCCGAGCCUCCGGAAAAGAAAUCAGAGCCAAGCACAGCUUCCCGGGUCACAGAACCAAUUCAUUCACCAGGCGGCACCACUGCCGUCAUUUCAGCUUCUGGCCACUGGGAGGCGCUGCUCAAAAGGGUUUGCCCUGAGACUCCGAGAAGAAGCUGCGGGAAGGACAGCAGGGGUCCCGGGGUUUUAGCCUCUGGCCCAGGAGUUGUAUGUCCAUAACCAAAGGGAGCACAGUCUGCACCCAGCUCUCAUCCCAUCGGAGCUGCUGCGACUCCCGCAGGUUCUUCCAAAACUGGUUUAGCUUGCCUGCAGGAUCAGGAAAGUUUGAGAAAAGCAUCUGCAAAAAAAUAAAGAGCAGAGCUUACCUCAUUGCCUGUCCCCACCCCAUCCCAGGUCACCACCUGGCUGACCCCAGGUCCCCGACCCAACAACAACCCCUCCCAAGUUCCUAACUCUCUCACUUGGACUCGAGACUCUUCACGCCCCAGCAGCGCUCCGCCUCCAACUUGACAUCAUGCUUUCUGGAAACUUCCCCGUAUGUCCCACUUUCCCACACUUGGUGCCCUGGAGCACCUCCCGGCCUCUAACGUGCUGUAUGUUCCCCUGCGAGCACCCUCCUCUUGGCCUCUGGCCAAGUCCCACCCAUCUGUGGGUAACAAGGGGGUGUCGGUGUUCUUUUCAGCCUUGCUAAACUCUCUGAAUCAAGGAUCACAAACUACAGCCUGCAGGCCAAAUCCAGCCCACAGCCUGUGUUUGUAAAUAAAGUUUUAUUGGAACAAA